CUGUAGAGCCAGUGGGUGUGGCGCACCAGAUUUUCUUGUGAACACGUAGAAUAACAUGCAGCGGUAUGGACGGAUAGGUGGCGUCGCAUAUUUCACCUGUGGGCUUAAUUCCAUUGUUGAGAUUUGUCACUGAUUGUCGGGAAAAAUGAGACUUGUUUAUUUUGUCAGGCCAGCUGAGGAUAUUCUCACAUUUCCAUCCAAUGUAUAUAAAAUCGUUGUUUUUAUUUUAUUGACCUGGCCAGUUGUUGCUCGUCCACUUGACCAUUCAACCGUCGACCAUAUUUGUUAAUUUAUUUAUCAUUUAUGUGCACCUUGCCUAUUUAUGUACCGAAUCUACUAAAAAUAUCCAUCCAUCUUCUGGCUUGUUAAUUAAGUCGUCACAAUGGGCUGCAACGUUUGUAAUUCACACCAUCGUACGGAGGAAUGUCCUAUGUUAGUAGACGGAAAUAGGAUAACGGAUUCCAUACUUCCUCAACGGGCAUUUCUGACAUUGCCGAAAAAUUUGGAAAGUCGAGCGUUGGGUGACGGUAGAUUUGACAUCAUCAGUACAGCGGAUCUGCCCUUGGGGACUCAAUUUGGACCCUUUUUAGCCCCUAAAUACAAAAGACUAAAUUCAUCAUGCGCGUAUCAACUUCCAAUAUUUCGUGGAAAUAGGAUCCUUCACUACCUGGACACGACCAAUUUAUCCAAAUGCAACUGGAUGUCCUUAGUCCGUUUCACUGAUGAUGAAACAAUGAGAAAUACAAUCUGCUAUCAGCUAAAAGAUGAAAUAUAUUUCUCUGUGGUGACAGUAAUCAAAAAGAGACAGCCCCUCGUCGUAUGUUACUCUCCAGGAUACUUUAGCCUAAUGAAGAAAAUUAAAGAAUGUGAUAGCCGAAGUCUGGCACCGCAGCUACAGUCAGAAACUGUGAAAAUGGAUGUACAAAAAUUGCACACUGACCACUUGCAAUCGGAACAAGCCAGUGAUACUGUAAUUGAUCACGACUAUUUUACUCCUACGUCGCCAAGUGUCAUAAAUGAUGCAGGUGAUAAUGAACCCCUUGUCAAGAAAGUUAUUAACAACUGUAGCACUCUCAGAGUGGUUGGAACAAGGUCGUCGAAGCGUCUGAAAAAGCGAAAAAUGCGUUCUUCUGGAUUGCGCAAUAAAACAUUGUUGCCAGCCAAGGUCGAAAAGGUGAAAAGUAUUAAAGGCAAUAAAGAAGAGUGCACAUUUAAGAAAAAGAAGGAUAUGAAAAGACAAAAGCGUCGAAUUUGUUACCCAAUUCGUCAUACUGAAAUUUGGGAAUGCAAAUUCUGCCAUGUUCAAAUGAACAUAAUAACCAGUUUUGCCCAACAUCUGAUCGAGCAUUACAAAUGUUUCAAAUCAAUCGAGGAUAAAUUAGACAAGAAUGAACAAGAGAUUGACCCGUCGUUACUUCAGCCAACACUCCCAUACACAUGUGACAUUUGUAGAAAAGUCAAAUGUUAUACACGAUUAGAAACUAUAAUUCGUCAUUUACGAAUCGCACAUGGAUCUAUUGCUGAAAAUGCCGUCACUGUGAACCAUGAUUAUAUUCAAUGCCAUGGUUGUCGGCAGUACUUUGGAAAUGAGAAUUUUUAUAGAAACCACGCAUGUGAAGAACCCUCUGUGAAUGGUUGUUGUAUUUGCAAUAUAGUUUUUGAAAAUCAAACGGACUUAAGAACUCAUUUAUCAUCGCACACUGAAAAUGAUUUUAUUUGCCCUAACUGUCGGAAAAUAUUAACUAAUGUAUCGUACGAGGUCCAUAUUUCAGUUUGUCGAACCGUCCGUAACGCCUUGGACGAUUUAGCAACAGGAAAUAUCAAUUGUUGUUGGAAGGGCUGUCAAGAGGAUCUGCUAGACUUACAGAGUUUUCAAACCCAUUUAGCAGAACACACGCAUCCCUUCUUAUGCUCAAAGUGCUUUCUUAGACUGAGAAAUCCAAAAGAAUUAAAUACCCACCGUUGUAAAAAGUUAGUGUGCGAUAAAUGCUUACAACUAUUUGACACCGUUCUGCAGUUAAAAGAUCACAUCAACCAGGAUCAUUCCAAUUUAUGUAAAGUAUUAUCUUGCUUCGAGUGUACUAAACCAUUCGCAACUCUGGAAGGAUAUGUCGAACACGAGGAUUGCGAAGAAGCUAGUCGACUCGCCUUUCUUACCGGAAAUCAAUCAUCCACUGACGAAAAUGUCGACGUGAAGUAUGUUUGCGAAUUUUGUGGUGCUACAUACUCUAACAUGAGUUCAUUGAAAACCCAUCGGAACACUCAUUUGGAAAAGAAGUUUGUUUGCAAAAAGUGCAACAAACGGUUCACCCGAAAAGCUCUGUUGCAAGAUCAUUAUCAUGUUCAUACUGAUCCCCAGUUUUCUUGCUUAAUAUGUGGCAGCAAACUGAAAACACUAAAAAGUUUGACUGUUCACAUGCGCAUUCAUAAAGAAAGCAAGCCAUUUACUUGUACCGUUUGUGGCAAGGGAUUCGCACAGAAAAUCAACCUCCAAACUCAUUCACGUUCGCACAUUCCGGCAGAGGAAAAACGACACGAAAUUUGCGAUCAGUGUGGGAAAAAGUUUUUUUCCCCAGAGUACUUGAAACUUCAUGCAAAGACCCAUCAAACAAACGGAGAAAAAUUUGCAUGCGAUAUCUGUAACGCGGAAUUCCUCCGGCCGUAUAUUCUGCAUCAACACAAAAAAACUGUUCAUGGAAAUAAUGUCUACAAAUGCGAAUUUUGUGAACGAAAUGUACGUUUUAGACAAAAAUACUCUCUACAUAGACAUUGGAUGAAAGAACAUCCAAGUGAUAAGGAUACCUGGGAGGCUGAAGGAUACCUAAGUAGCAUGCUUAUCCCUGGGGAUGGAUCUUUGUGUCAUCCAAGGACAAAGAAAACUCCUGCAUUAUCCCAAACAGAAGACGAGCACGCAACAAGUGCAAGUAGUGCAUCUAACACAAUGAAACGCUCUAAUGUCUCACACAUAGGCAAAACCCGUCAAUCUGCCAAACGAUCGAAAAAGGUCAAUUUGGACAUUAGAGCAAAACAAAUUGUGCCUCAGAAUCCACCAAUGCCGGAAAGUUUGGAGAUAGAAAAUGAAGUGACUGUUGGAGAAGAUGAUUCGUCAAAAACGGAAUUAACCCUAACAUUGGAUGACGAAACUACUGAUAUGUUCUCCAAAACAAUUAGUCAUCCUAAUAUGAAGGCAGAAAAUUUGAUACUACUCCAAUUGGAUGAUGACGGUCGUUAUGUAAUUGCUUUCUCUCACGAUCUGAGUUGAAUUUCUCAGGUAUCGACUGUUAAAUUGGAAGAACCAAUUAUCUGUGAUAUAUAACAUUGUUCGAGGUGAAAGCAGUGAAACUUUAACGUGCAGAAAAAUCUCACUACCACCGGCUCACAUCGAGAGGCAGGAAGGUUUUUUGGUUUGUUCUCACUAUCUCACUCCCUGUUGUGAUCUGAACAAAACCGACUAAAAUUAUUAUUAUACGAAGAAUUGCUAUUGUGAAUGGUAAAUUCAGAAUUAUUUCAGUGUUUAAAUUUUUUAAUAAACCUUACGAAAUUCG